rnacentral:rRNA from 1 species
CGUCGAGUGGCGAACGGGUGAGUAAUACUUAGGAAUCUGCCCAAUAGUGGGGGACAACCCGGGGAAACCCGGGCUAAUACCGCAUACGCCCUACGGAGGAAAGCAGGGGAUCUUCGGACCUUGCGCUAUUGGAUGAGCCUAAGUCGGAUUAGCUUGUUGGUGGGGUAAAGGCCUACCAAGGCGACGAUCCGUAGCUGGUCUGAGAGGACGAUCAGCCACACUGGGACUGAGACACGGCCCAG